rnacentral:rRNA from 1 species
ACGCACGCUGGCGGCGUGCUUCACCCAUGCCAGUCGAACGGAAAGGCCCUGCUUGCCGGGUACUCGAGUGGCGAACGGGUGAGUAACACGUGGGUGAUCUGCCCUGCACUUCGGGAUAAGCCUGGGAAACUGGGUCUAAUACCGGAUAGGAGCCAUUUUUAGUGUGAUGGUUGGAAAGUUUUUUCGGUGUAGGAUGAGCUCGCGGCCUAUCAGCUUGUUGGUGGGGUAAUGGCCUACCAAGGCGGCGACGGGUAGCCGGCCUGAGAGGGUGGACGGCCACAUUGGGACUGAGAUACGGCCCAGACUCCUACGGGAGGCAGCAGUGGGGAAUAUUGCACAAUGGGCGCAAGCCUGAUGCAGCGACGCCGCGUGGGGGAUGACGGCCUUCGGGUUGUAAACGCCUUUCGCUAGGGACGAAGCUUUUUGUGACGGUACCUAGAGAAGAAGCACCGGCUAACUACGUG